UACACCAACACAUAUUUAGCAACGGAGAUGAUAUAUGCGUUGGCAGGCCAUGGACUCAACGUCCCCCACCUCCCCACAAAUCGUUAAUCUCCUCCCUCUAUCCACUUCUUCCUUGAUUGUCUAUACUUCUCCACAUCACACGGCCAAACUUGUGGAAAAAAGGGGGGCGAGACAACUUUAUCUCCUUGCAGACCUCCCUAAAAAAAUCUCACUUCGGGCCGCCACCACAAAUCCUCAAUCGAUCUCACCUGAUCCACCGCCGCCGCCACAAAUCCUCCAUCGUUCUCACCUGAUUUCCCUGCGCCGCCGUUGGCUUGGCGCACAUCUAGGUUUCCCCACUUGAUCCUUGGGUAUGAGGGUUCCCUCACCUGGUAUGUAGAUCACGGCUGGACAAGAAAUUGUCACGGUGCCGCUGGCCAUGUCCACAUCGCGCUCUCCCUGGAAGCCCCGCUCCCCGCGCUCCAUUUUGAUAGUCACCACAGGGAACGACUACAAGAGGAAGACGCACAAGGUGUCCGAGAUUCGCCGGGGAUGGGGAAGGUCAUGCGUCGCUGCGCCGGGAGGCAGCAUCUACUCUGCUAGAAGAAUGCUAAGCAAAGAAUUUGGAUCAGAUGUCAAUAGCGCAGGGGCAGGGGGCUACUCGAUGGGCCAAAAAAGCGGAGGUUUGGUUGCAGUUCCCAGAUGCACAACAGCGGUGCGGCGCCCAUAUGCACAACGGUGGCGCGACGGCUGCGAGAUGUACAGAAGUGGUAUGGCCGCUCCACAGUGAUGGUUUGUAGUGCAGUACGGUAGUGAUGACAUUACGCGGUGACUGUGGACUCUGGCGUCAAAGGACAAAACAUGGUUCAGAUUCAUAAGAUAUUUUGACGAUGCAUGGCUUAGACGUUGAUUGCACGGUCCAGAAUGGUGCUAUAGGAUACUCUUAUCAUCUGAUUGCAAGGUCGAGAAUGGUGUUGCUGCUAGAUAGUUUGAUCAUCUGAUUGCAAGGUCGAGAAUGGUGUUGCUGCUGGAUAGUUUUAUCAUCUGAUUGCAAGGUCGAGAAUGGUGUUGCUGCUAUAUGGUCUUAUCAUAUGAUUGCAAGGUCGAGAAUGGUGUUGCUGUUGGAUAGUCUUAUGUUAUGUUUUAGGAUAUCAUUUCCAGUGUCAAUGUUUCAAAAGUUCUAAUUUCGAAUAGUUGAGAAAAUGAUUGAAAAGAUCCAGAAUUGGGCUAGUAUUGUAAUCUUUGGAUCAUGUUCUUUGUAAUGCAAUAGAUGAAAUUGAAUAUA